AACGGACGCUGGCGGCAGGCCUAACACAUGCAAGUCGAGCGAGGACUUCGGUUCUAGCGGCGGACGGGUGAGUAACGCGUGGGAAUGUGCCCUUCUCUACGGAAUAGCCCUGGGAAACUGGGAGUAAUACCGUAUACGCCCUUUUGGGGAAAGAUUUAUCGGAGAAGGAUCAGCCCGCGUUGGAUUAGGUAGUUGGUGGGGUAAUGGCCUACCAAGCCGACGAUCCAUAGCUGGUUUGAGAGGAUGAUCAGCCACACUGGGACUGAGACACGGCCCAGACUCCUACGGGAGGCAGCAGUGGGGAAUCUUAGACAAUGGGGGCAACCCUGAUCUAGCCAUGCCGCGUGAGUGAUGAAGGCCUUAGGGUUGUAAAGCUCUUUCAGCUGGGAAGAUAAUGACGGUACCAGCAGAAGAAGCCCCGGCUAACUCCGUG
rnacentral:rRNA from 1 species